GGUUUUACUGUAAGCUGUGUUCACUCUUUUAUACAAAUGAAGAAGUUGCAAAGAAUACUCAUUGCAGCAGCCUUCCUCAUUAUCAGAAAUUAAAGAAAUUUCUGAAUAAAUUGGCAGAAGAACGCAGACAGAAGAAGGAAACUUAAGAUGUGCAAGGAGAUUUAAUGAUUUCAAAGAAAAUAAUGGUUCUUUGUUUUUAAUGUUAACCUUUUUUAAAUACAAUACUGAUAGUUAGAAGAAAACUAUUGUACUCUUUUGUUUUAGUGGAGAAAUAAUAGAUGUCUGUUCAUGUGUUAAGUGUUAUAGCAAAAAAAAUACACAUAUGGUUAAGUUAAUGAAUAGUUUUUGUUUUAUCAGAAUGGCAACAGACAGAAGUACUUUGUAGAGAUUGACUUCCUAAGCUACUUAAGACAACUUGCACCACUAAGAAAAAAAUGUAGAACCAUUUGGAAAAAUGAAAUUUAGUAGUUCCAAGUUUCAAAGAAAUGUCAACAUUUUAUUCCAUUCAAUAAAGAACAAAACCAAUAGUGUUUUUAUUACUUUCAUCUGAAACAUUCCAUGUUUUAAUCUGAGCCUUGCAGACUUUCAUUUGGAGUUUGAACCCGUUUUGGUUGCAUUUCAUUUUUGGAGAACUUAAUUAACGUGAGAUUGGCAAUUGAAAUGCAGGUGCAGUUUUCUGUUAAUGUCAUGCUGUUGUUUAGGUAAUAAGAAAUAUUAAGUAAUUGGCUUUAGAUUUUGUAAUUUUUUUCCCUGAGUUCCUGCUAGAUUUCGUAUUCUAGUAGUCAAUGUAUUUUCAGUGAAAUGCAAAAAUAUUCCCGUUAUCUUUGACCAGUAUUAAUUUUUGAGAUCUUACUGCUUGUCACUUGAAUCCCGUGAUUGUCAUACAUCUCUGGUAUAAGCAACAUUUGAUUUUUGAAGUGUGUAGACCAUCUCUUCAUAUUUUCAAGAUGUAAUUUUACAUUUCUGCAUUUUUAAAACAGUUUGGCCAUAAUCCUAGAUGCACGCUUCUAAUUCAUGUACCUGCACAUGUGACCUUUGUGAACAGAAAUUUGCAUGUAUAAUUUGUGUUUACUUGUAACUUUCUGGUUAUAUACUGCUUAUAUCUGUGGAUUCAAGUUACUGAAGUGAAUACCAAUAAAAAGAAAACCCUAGGCCAUGUUAAUUGGUUAUACAUGUUUGGAAUGUUAAC
rnacentral:lncRNA from 1 species